CGUCUGUGGGCGUGGAACAGGCAUUGGGUUCUCCUGCUGGGAAAAAUGAAGAAACCCAUCAUCCUCAGGAAGUCCUUCUGCUUCUUUGUCCUUCACAAGAUCAACUGAAGUUCUCUAGCUGUGUCAAAAGGCUGAAUUUCAGGUAAGGAAAGAAAGUUAAACUGCUUUGGUUUUUGAAUGAU
rnacentral:lncRNA from 1 species